UACGGGGGAUGCAAGCGUUAUCCGGAAUGAUUGGGCGUAAAGCGUCCGCAGGUGGCAAUGUAAGUCUGCUGUCAAAGCGUCUGGCUCAACCAGAUAAAGGCAGUGGAAACUACAUAGCUAGAGUAAGGUAGGGGUAGAGGGAAUUCCUGGUGUAGCGGUGAAAUGCGUAGAGAUCAGGAAGAACACCGGUGGCGAAAGCGCUCUGCUGGACCUUAACUGACACUGAGGGACGAAAGCUAGGGGAGCGAAUGGG
rnacentral:rRNA from 1 species